UUCCAGGUAGCUUAAUGGUAAAGCACCCAAUCGGCAAUUGGGGGAUCUAAGUUCAAGUCCCGGCCCGGGUU
rfam:Strigamia maritima strain Brora ctg7180001232011, whole genome shotgun sequence.